rnacentral:rRNA from 2 species
CAGCCGCCGCGGUAAAACCAGCACCUCAAGUGGUCAGGAUGAUUAUUGGGCCUAAAGCAUCCGUAGCCGGCUCUGUAAGUUUUCGGUUAAAUCUGUACGCUCAACGUACAGGCUGCCGGGAAUACUGCAGAGCUAGGGAGUGGGAGAGGUAGACGGUACUCGGUAGGAAGGGGUAAAAUCCUUUGAUCUAUUGAUAACCACCUGUGGCGAAGGCGGUCUACCAGAACACGUCCGACGGUGAGGGAUGAAAGCUGGGGGAGCAAACCGGAUUAGAUACCCGGGUAGUCCCAGCUGUAAACUAUGCAAACUCAGUGAUGCAUUGGCUUGUGGCCAAUGCAGUGCUGCAGGGAAGCCGUUAAGUUUGCCGCCUGGGAAGUACGUACGCAAGUAUGAAACUUAAAGGAAUUGGCGGGGGAGCAC